rnacentral:rRNA from 1 species
UAAGGAAUAUUGGUCAAUGGUGGAAACACUGAACCAGCCAUCCCGCGUGCAGGACGAAGGCCCUCCGGGUCGUAAACUGCUUUUACCAGGGAAGAAACGUGUAGGUUCGUCCUGCACCUGACGGUACCUGGGGAAUAAGCACCGGCUAACUCCGUGCCAGCAGCCGCGGUAAUACGGAGGGUGCAAGCGUUAUCCGGAAUCACUGGGUUUAAAGGGUGCGUAGGCGGCUUUGUAAGUCAGAGGUGAAAGCUCACGGCUCAACUGUGGAAUUGCCUUUGAUACUGCAAGGCUUGAAUGAGUGCGAGGCAGGCGGAAUGUGGCAUGUAGCGGUGAAAUGCUUAGAGAUGCCAUAGAACACCGAUUGCGAAGGCAGCCUGCCAGAACUCAAUUGACGCUGAGGCACGAAAGCGUGGGGAGCGAACAGG